rnacentral:rRNA from 2 species
GUUAUAGGGUCAAGCGAACAAGUGCAUGUGGUGGAUGCCUUGGCGAUCACAGGCGAUGAAGGACGCGGUAGCCUGCGAAAAGCUACGGGGAGCUGGCAAACGAGCUUUGAUCCGUAGAUGUCCGAAUGGGGAAACCCACUCCUUUUGGAGUAUCCAUGGCUGAAUACAUAGGCCAUGUGAAGCGAACGCGGUGAACUGAAAC